rnacentral:rRNA from 1 species
UACGGAGGGAGCUAGCGUUGUUCGGGAUUACUGGGCGUAAAGCGCACGUAGGCGGCUUUGUAAGUUAGAGGUGAAAGCCCGGAGCUCAACUCCGGAAUUGCCUUUAAGACUGCAUCGCUUGAAUCCGGGAGAGGUGAGUGGAAUUCCGAGUGUAGAGGUGAAAUUCGUAGAUAUUGGGAAGAACACCGGUGGCGAAGGCGGCGACCUGGUCCGAUACUGACGCUGAGGCGCGAAAGCGUGGGGAGCAAACAGG